CGACACACAGCGCGCGGUCCAAACCUUCGGAGGGCAUUCGGUGCGACGGCAUCCCCACGCCGCGGCCGGCCGGAGGGGGCCUCAGACAACACCUGCCACCUCCUCCAAGCCGACCCCUUGCCUGAUGAACGGAGUGCUCUUCGGGGAGCACAUGGCCCAGUGGGGGCAUCAGAGCUACUCACCACCUCCAGCGCUGCACUGGGCAUCCACUCCCGAAACCGAGACUGGCCCUCCUCCUCCUUCCACUCAAGAUGAGCUGGAGUCAUCCUCGACCCCUCACCCUUAAGCUUUCACAGCCUGUCCAUCUUUCAUUCCUGCUGACGUGCUCUCAGAGCUUUGAAACCUUCCCCCUCCUUGUGCCAGCCUCAGCACCCCACAAGCAUUCAGGGGCUCAACCCUCCCUCAUGUGGACUGAAAGCUGACCAUUCACUUUCCUGCUUAAAAUGUUUCAAGGCUGCCAGCUUUUAUACACUAAAUUCUAAAUUCUAAAGUCUUGGGACUUCCCUGGUGGCAAAGUGGUUGAGAAUUGCCUGCCAAUGCAGGGGACAUGGGUUUGAUCCCUGGUCCCAGAAGAUCCCACAUGCUGCAGCACAACUAAGCCCGUGUGCCACAACUACUGAGCCUGUGCUCUAGAGCAUGUGAGCCACAACUACUGAGCCCACGCACCACAACUACUGAAGCCAACAUGCCUAGAGCCCGUGCUCUACAACAAGAGAAGCGACCACAAUGAGAAGCCCGCACACCACAAUGAAGAGUAGCCCCUGCUCUCCACAACGAGAGAAAGUCCACAUGCAGCAAUGAAGACCCAGUGCAGCCAAUAAAUAAAUAAAUUUAUUUAAAAAAAUAAAUAAAAUAAAUUCUAAGGUCUUUGUAAUAUGGCCCCAAACUGCAUUUCUAGCCAAUUCCCUGUAUGCCCCAUGUGUCCUGCAAUUUUCUGAGCAAGGCUGGCCCCUUCAAGACAUGGAAGCAGUGUAACAGAGGGACAGAGCAGCACCUCCGACCCAGAAUGCCUGGCUCUAUAUUACAGCCCUACUGCUGACUGGCAUGGGUAAAUUACUUGACCACUCUCU